rnacentral:misc_RNA from 1 species
GGCAAGUUGUUUCUGGGGGAAUGGCAUCCUCUGAUAGGAGGCUUGAAGAGAAGAAGGGGUUGCAAGUUGUUCCUGGGGGAAUGGCUUCCUCUGAGAGGAAACUUGAAGAGAAGGCCUUCAAUUUCAAUAAUGAAGAAGUUAAGGCUUCUGAUUCAACUGUUGAUGCGGAAAUGGCACAAGCACCCAUCAAAACCACUGGUGUUGAUAAGGAUGUUGAGGCGACUGAAGCGACGGGGAAAUUGGAGGAUAUGGCUUCAACUGCCAGUCAGGAGGAGGUUAAGUGUCUUGAAAACUCAGAGGAGUCA